GUAAACGAUGUGCACAGGUGUCGGGGGGUAGCCCUCGGUACCGAAGCGAACGCGAUGAGUGCACCGCCUGGGGAGUAUGCCCGCAAGGGUGAAACUCAAAGGAAUUGACGGGGGCCCGCACAAGCGGUGGAGCAUGUGGUUUAAUUCGAUGGUACGCGAGGAACCUUACCAGGGCUUGACAUGCGCAGGAAUCAUGGGGAAACCCAUGAGCCGCUUGCGGCCUGCGCACAGGUGCUGCAUGGCUGUCGUCAGCUCGUGCUGUGAAGUGUUGGGUUAAGUCCCGCAACGAGCGCAACCCCUGCCGUCUGUUACCAGCAUGCAAAGAUGGGGACUCAGACGGAACUGCCGGUGACAAACCGGAGGAAGGUGUGGACGACGUCAAGUCAUCAUGGCCCUUAUGUCCUGGGCGACACACGUGCUACAAUGGCCGGUACAGAGCGAAGCGAGCCUGCGAAGGCGAGCGAACCGCGAAAAGCCGGUCUCAGUACGGAU
rnacentral:rRNA from 1 species